ensembl:misc_RNA Metazoa_SRP Metazoan signal recognition particle RNA
GGCAGGUGUAGUGGCGUGAGCCUGUAGUCCCAGCUACUCAGGAGGCUGAGGCUGGAGGACCGCUUGAGCCCAGGAGUUCUGGGCUGUAGUGCACUAUGCCGAUCGGGUGCCUGCACUAAGUUCGGCAUCAAUAAGGUGACCUACCGGGAGCGGGGGACCACCAGGUUGCCUAAGGAGGGGUGAAUCGGCCCAGGUCAGAAAUGGAGGUCAAAACUCCCAUGCUGAUUAGUAGUGGGAUCGCGCCUGUGAAUAGCCACUGCACUCCAGCCUGGGCAAUAUAGCAAGACCCUGUCUCUU